UUAAAAAGGCAGAAUUUAAAGCAUGUUGCCACAGACCAAUGCAUCUUUUCCUCUGUGCAUCUUGCAAAGCGAGAUGUGCUCUGCUUCCAGAACUCUCCAAAAGAGAAGAUUGCAAUCUUCCUCAAAAUUAUGUGUACCUUGGCAUAUCUACAUUUGAAUCAUUUUAUUGAGCUUAUGUGAUAUUGGAAAUUUUUAAGUGAAUUUUGAGUUUUUAAAGCAGCAAGCCAUAAUGCUCAAAAUCAAUAUAAAUAAACAUUAUAGAUAAAGUAGGUUUUUGGUAAUGUUGAAGAAGAAGAAGUAAAAAAAACGUGCUGAGCGCUCCGCUACUGUGUGCUCAUGUCCUCUUCUGAGCCUGAAGAUGAAAUAAAACCACAACUGCUGGUAAGUGAUCAAUGGCUGGACGACGUCUCGCGUUCAGCUCGCCUUCAACUUGCAAGAACAAGCUUUAUUAAAGUGUAUUUUUUGUGAUUCACAGUAAGCAGGACGCCGUCCUCACAACUCGGAGACAAAUUGCAGGCGCUAUGAACCGUAGCAAGGACUAAGCACGCCUCAUAAUGAGGCGGUGACCUCCUAUUUGUUCGGAGCAAUAACUGCAAGUCCAGUUUUACACGAUGUUGAUAAAGACGGCAUUGUGUCCGCCUGUAAGACGUAUUAUGAGACGGUACGCAGGAG